rnacentral:rRNA from 1 species
UACGGGGGGAGCAAGCGUUGUUCGGAUUUACUGGGCGUAAAGGGCGCGUAGGCGGCACCGCAAGUCAGUUGUGAAAUCUCCGGGCUUAACUCGGAACGGUCAAGUGAUACUGUCGGACUAGAGUACAGAAGGGGCAACUGGAAUUCUCGGUGUAGCGGUGAAAUGCGUAGAUAUCGAGAGGAACACCUGCGGCGAAGGCGGGUUGCUGGGCUGAUACUGACGCUGAGGCGCGAAAGCCAGGGGAGCGAACGGG